rnacentral:rRNA from 1 species
AGGAAAAGAAACUAACAAGGAUUCCCCUAGUAACUGCGAGUGAAGCGGGAAAAGCUCAAAUUUAAAAUCUGGUGGUCUUUGGCCAUCCGAGUUGUAAUUUAGAGAAGCGUCUUCCGCGCUGGACCCGUGCACAAGUCUCCUGGAAUGGAGCGUCAUAGAGGGUGAGAAUCCCGUCUUUGGCACGGACACGCCAGGGCUUUUGUGAUGCGCUCUCGAAGAGUCGAGUUGUUUGGGAAUGCAGCUCAAAAUGGGUGGUGAACUCCAUCUAAAGCUAAAUAUUGGCGAGAGACCGAUAGCGAACAAGUACCGUGAGGGAAAGAUGAAAAGCACUUUGGAAAGAGAGUGAAACAGUACGUGAAAUUGUUGAAAGGGAAACGCUUGAAGUCAGUCGCGUCGACCGAGACUCAGCCUCGCCUCGGCUUGGUGUAAUUCUCGGCUGACGGGUCAGCAUCAAUUUUGCCUCUUGGAUAAUGGCGAGGGAAAUGUGACACCUUUAUGGUGUGUUAUAGUCUCUCGUCGCAUGCAAGGGUUGGGAUUGAGGAACUCAGCACGCACCUUUGGGUGUCGGGGUUUAUGCCCACGAUACGUGCUUAGGAUGUUGGCGUAAUGGCUUUAAACGACCCGU